GGUUAAGCGACUAAGCGUACACGGUGGAUGCCCUGGCAGUCAGAGGCGAUGAAGGACGUGCUAAUCUGCGAAAAGCGUCGGUAAGGUGAUAUGAACCGUUAUAGCCGGCGAUGUCCGAAUGGGGAAACCCAGUGCAAUUCGUUGCACUAUCGUUAACUGAAUACAUAGGUUAACGAGGCGAACCGGGGGAACUGAAACAUCUAAGUACCCCGAGGAAAAGAAAUCAACCGAGAUUCCCCCAGUAGCGGCGAGCGAACGGGGAGCAGCCCAGAGUCUGAAUCAGCUUGUGUGUUAGUGGAACGGUCUGGAAAGUCCGACGGUACAGGGUGAUAGUCCCGUACACCAAAAUGCACAGGUUGUGAACUCGAAGAGUAGGGCGGGACACGUGGUAUCCUGUCUGAAUAUGGGGGGACCAUCCUCCAAGGCUAAAUACUCCUGACUGACCGAUAGUGAACCAGUACCGUGAGGGAAAGGCGAAAAGAACCCCGGCGAGGGGAGUGAAAAAGAACCUGAAACCGUGUACGUACAAGCAGUGGGAGCACCUUCGGGUGUGACUGCGUACCUUUUGUAUAAUGGGUCAGCGACUUAUAUUCUGUAGCAAGGUUAACCGUAUAGGGGAGCCGCAGGGAAACCGAGUCUUAACUGGGCGUUAAGUUGCAGGGUAUAGACCCGAAACCCGGUGAUCUAGCCAUGGGCAGGUUGAAGGUUGGGUAACACUAACUGGAGGACCGAACCGACUAAUGUUGAAAAAUUAGCGGAUGACUUGUGGCUGGGGGUGAAAGGCCAAUCAAACCGGGAGAUAGCUGGUUCUCCCCGAAAGCUAUUUAGGUAGCGCCUCGUGAACUCAUCUUCGGGGGUAGAGCACUGUUUCGGCUAGGGGGUCAUCCCGACUUACCAACCCGAUGCAAACUACGAAUACCGAAGAAUGUUAUCACGGGAGACACACGGCGGGUGCUAACGUCCGUCGUGAAGAGGGAAACAACCCAGACCGCCAGCUAAGGUCCCAAAGUCAUGGUUAAGUGGGAAACGAUGUGGGAAGGCACAGACAGCCAGGAUGUUGGCUUAGAAGCAGCCAUCAUUUAAAGAAAGCGUAAUAGCUCACUGGUCGAGUCGGCCUGCGCGGAAGAUGUAACGGGGCUAAACCAUGCACCGAAGCUGCGGCAGCGACACUAUGUGUUGUUGGGUAGGGGAGCGUUCUGUAAGCCUGCGAAGGUGUGCUGUGAGGCAUGCUGGAGGUAUCAGAAGUGCGAAUGCUGACAUAAGUAACGAUAAAGCGGGUGAAAAGCCCGCUCGCCGGAAGACCAAGGGUUCCUGUCCAACGUUAAUCGGGGCAGGGUGAGUCGACCCCUAAGGCGAGGCCGAAAGGCGUAGUCGAUGGGAAACAGGUUAAUAUUCCUGUACUUGGUGUUACUGCGAAGGGGGGACGGAGAAGGCUAUGUUAGCCGGGCGACGGUUGUCCCGGUUUAAGCAUGUAGGCUGGUUGUCCAGGCAAAUCCGGAUAAUCAAGGCUGAGGUGUGAUGACGAGGCACUACGGUGCUGAAGUAACAAAUGCCCUGCUUCCAGGAAAAGCCUCUAAGCAUCAGGUAACAUUAAAUCGUACCCCAAACCGACACAGGUGGUCAGGUAGAGAAUACCAAGGCGCUUGAGAGAACUCGGGUGAAGGAACUAGGCAAAAUGGUGCCGUAACUUCGGGAGAAGGCACGCUGGUGUGUAGGUGAAGCCCCUGCGGGUGGAGCUGAGACCAGUCGAAGAUACCAGCUGGCUGCAACUGUUUAUUAAAAACACAGCACUGUGCAAACACGAAAGUGGACGUAUACGGUGUGACGCCUGCCCGGUGCCGGAAGGUUAAUUGAUGGGGUUAUCCGUAAGGAGAAGCUCUUGAUCGAAGCCCCGGUAAACGGCGGCCGUAACUAUAACGGUCCUAAGGUAGCGAAAUUCCUUGUCGGGUAAGUUCCGACCUGCACGAAUGGCGUAAUGAUGGCCAGGCUGUCUCCACCCGAGACUCAGUGAAAUUGAACUCGCUGUGAAGAUGCAGUGUACCCGCGGCAAGACGGAAAGACCCCGUGAACCUUUACUAUAGCUUGACACUGAACAUUGAGCCUUGAUGUGUAGGAUAGGUGGGAGGCUUUGAAGCGUGGACGCCAGUCUGCGUGGAGCCAACCUUGAAAUACCACCCUUUAAUGUUUGAUGUUCUAACGUUGGCCCCUGACCGGGGUUGCGGACAGUGUCUGGUGGGUAGUUUGACUGGGGCGGUCUCCUCCCAAAGCGUAACGGAGGAGCACGAAGGUUAGCUAAUCCUGGUCGGACAUCAGGAGGUUAGUGCAAUGGCAUAAGCUAGCUUGACUGCGAGCGUGACGGCGCGAGCAGGUGCGAAAGCAGGUCAUAGUGAUCCGGUGGUUCUGAAUGGAAGGGCCAUCGCUCAACGGAUAAAAGGUACUCCGGGGAUAACAGGCUGAUACCGCCCAAGAGUUCAUAUCGACGGCGGUGUUUGGCACCUCGAUGUCGGCUCAUCACAUCCUGGGGCUGAAGUAGGUCCCAAGGGUAUGGCUGUUCGCCAUUUAAAGUGGUACGCGAGCUGGGUUUAGAACGUCGUGAGACAGUUCGGUCCCUAUCUGCCGUGGGCGCUGGAGAAUUGAGGGGGGCUGCUCCUAGUACGAGAGGACCGGAGUGGACGCAUCACUGGUGUUCGGGUUGUCAUGCCAAUGGCACUGCCCGGUAGCUAAAUGCGGAAGAGAUAAGUGCUGAAAGCAUCUAAGCACGAAACUUGCCCCGAGAUGAGUUCUCCCUGAGACUUUAAGUCUCCUGAAGGAACGUUAAAGACGAUGACGUUGAUAGGCCGGGUGUGUAAGCGCAGCGAUGCGUUGAGCUAACCGGUACUAAUGAACCGUGAGGCUUAACCUU
rnacentral:rRNA from 1 species